rnacentral:lncRNA from 1 species
GUAUGUAAUCCCAUAAAGUAUCAGCCAUUGGGUGGAAAUUGGAGUCUCUUGGUCCAAAACCCUAGCUAUGGGUGUAUUUUGCUUAGAUCUCACUCUCUACACGUAAAGUUUGCAACUUUACGUGGGAAAUAGGCUUGGGGAGGGUAGAUCUAUAGUUUGGAGCUCAUGCAUGACUCGGAAGUCCUCUGCAUGUAAGUGGAUCUUAGUGGACUCGACGAGUCCUUCGAGUGGACUCGGCGAGUAGCUUGAAGAUGAGGAGGAACUCGACGAGUGGGAUGAACAGCUCGUCGAGUCGGAUGAAGAUGGGCAUGAACUCGGCGAGUUGGAUGAACAACUCGUCGAGUUGGAUGAAGUUUGUCGUGUGCUCGGCGAGUCUGUUCUUAGACUCGGCGAGUCAGGUCGAGUGGUCCCAAACCCUUCGAGUUAAGACUCGAGUCAGCGAGUCGAGCCAGGACUCAGUGAGUUGGUCAGGACAGGAAUCGGGAAUCAGUAAACUCGGCGAGUCAGGGGCUGACUCGGCGAGUAGAGUCGCGAGUGGAAGGACUCUGGAUUUAUGAACUCGGCGAGUCAGUGGGGUGACUCGGCGAGUAGGGUUGACCUGGAAGGUUGACUUUGACCAGAGUUGACUUGGUUAACCUUUGGAGGUCAGUUAGACUAAGUGUUGGGUUGUUGUUGGUAGCUCGGGGAGCUAGCGGAGCAGCAGUUCGGAGUUAGCGGUCAAAGGGGUUAGCAGCGGCAGUUCGGCAAUAUCAGGUGAGUUUCCCUUUGUAUGAAUGGGUCUACGGCCACAAUGCCGGCCCAUGUAGUUAUGAGUAGAAGACCCGGGGGUUAGCCCUAGGCACAGUAUGCUAGUAUGAUAUUUGGACGAGGUCCAAUGACAGAGGGCGGGUGCCCAAGGAGCGGUUUAUGUGAUAGUUUAUACUUGUUGUCUGUGUGAUACUUGUAUGUGCCUGGUAGGGAGGUGAGAGAGGGCGAGGUCCCGUAUCUCACCAAUAGCAGAGUGUGGAUGGUGUUCCACAUCUCAGUAGCAGCAGAGCAGGGGCGAGGCCCAAGUUAGGAAAGGAGUGAGGGUGGGCUGGGCCCGAACCUCACUAUCAGCAGGAGUAUGGACGAGGUUCCAUGACUCAUCAGUAGCAGAACUCGGGCGGGGCCCAGAGAUAGGCGAGGCCUUAGAGCAAGGGUUGUUAGUAUAUGUUUAGCUUAUGUAAUGUUAUGUGAUACGUUUAUGUGCUAUUAUAUGUUAGUGGGCGAGGCCCUGUGACAGGCGAGGCCUAAGUGAAACAGAUCUGUAUCCGAGCGGGGCUCGAAGCCAGGCGGGGCCUGGAGCGGCGGGGCCGUUGUAGCGGGCGAGGCCCGAAGUAGGGGGCGAGGCCCAGGAUAGCGGGCGUGGCCCAGUAUGUGCAGUAUGUGGUUUUGCAUGGUAUGUGGUAAGGUGGGGAACUCACUAAGCUUCGUGCUUACGGUUUUCAGUUUUGUUUUCAGGUACUUCCGGUAGCGGAGGGAGGAGCUCGGGGUGAUCGCAUGGCACACACCAUAGAUUAGUCAACCUGGGAAUGUUUACUCUGAUAAUAAACAUGUGUUUUGAAAACCUAUACUCAGAUUAUGUUUUGGAAUGAUGUCUUUGGUUAAAGUAAUGUUUUAUUAAAAAGAAAUUUUUGGUCUUAAAUUUUGGGAUGUUACAAGUUGGUAUCAGAGCCUUGGUUUGAGGGAUUCGGGCAUACUCUCGGGUGUGCCUGAACUCAAACUGAGGGGUCGGAUAAAAAGUUUUCAAAAGUGAAAAGGCAGUUUUGUAAAAAGAAUUUUGAGAACGAAAAACAGUUUUAGAAAAACAAAAAGAAUUUAGAAAGAAAAGAACUUUGAAAAGAGAAAAGAGGUGUGGUGCAUGCAAUCAACCGAGCUCAAGUAAGUACCCCAAAAUACCCAUACAAGUUUAUGUUAUGAUUAUCAGUUGAUGGAACAGCAUGCUAGAAUAGGACUAAGGAUCUAGGGAUGAUGCCUUAUGUGCCUGUUAUUUGUGCUUUUGAGCUGCAUGAUAGUGCUGAUUAGACAGUAGUAGGAUAGCCUGUUUAGGUUAUGCCUGAGUUUAUGAGUUUGUGUUGCAUGCUAGUUCAGAUUCUUGCUAUGUGGAUAUGAUUGCUUGAGUAUGUUGUGGUUAGACUUUCCCCUUGUCCGAAUGCUGCUUGCUUUGUGCAUUAUGGGAUUUUGAGUGAUGGGAGUUAGCCAUUAGGUGGAUACGUCACGUCACAUGUGAUCAGGGUUGAAUAAUCUCAGAGUGCUGGAUUUGGCCCUAUUGCGCAGCUCUCGUUUGAGUCCAACCGUUGUAGGGACGAGUCUUUUACUUGAAGGAUUAUCUGAGCCUCGUCGCAUGUGAUGGUAUCCAGGUGAUGGCUAAUUGGCAUCACAAGGAGACCUUCAGCAGCUGAGGACUGGUUUGAGUUGAGUCAGAGGUUUCCCUAGGGUAAGCCUAGGAUGAGAUAGUGUUGGGAGCAGUAUUAGUGGAUAAGGGACCUGGUGGAGUCAAAGCAAUUCCUGAGGAAAGUACGGAUAGAUGUGGAAGGUAGUAUGGGCCCGUACUACUGAAAGCAGAGGAUCCGUACUCGAUUCGGGAAGGGCAGAGACAAGACCGGGAACCUGGUAGGGCAUGUUUGAUCUUGUAUCAAUGAUGGGUAUUCUGAUUGUGGUUGUGGUAUAUUUUCAGCAUGGUGACAUUGCGAGAGAGACCAGCGGGCGGAUCAGGCGCCGGAGAGGGAUCAGCCUCGGGUUCAGGGACCGAGCAGCUCGAGGAGCGGAUGAGAGAGUUGAUAUCAGCUGAGGUUACGCACAGUAUUCUAGCUCAGACUCCUGUGAUCUUUGGCACGGUCAAGGAGGGUAUACUGGAGAUCUUGGAUGAGAGGCUGGGAGCCUUCCGUACUGAGAUGAUGGCAUUGAUGGGAGCGCGUACCUUGACAUUUCGAGAGUUCAGAGCCUGCGGGGCACCAGAUUAUCAUGGGGCUAGGGACCCCAUUGCUAGCAGCAGAUGGUUGGCUGAUGUUGCCAACGCUUUUCGUACGAGCAAGUGUCCCGAGGGGGACAAGGUUAGACUCGCCUCCUGUCUUCUGAAGGACAGAGCGAGGGAUUGGUGGGAGGAGAUUGGUCAUGCUUUGGGGGAUGAUGCCGCGUUGGACGCGAUGACUUGGAGCGAUUUCUCGGCCAGGUUCAGGGCGGAGUUUUCGCCGAUUAUUGAGGUGCAGCAGCUGGCACGAGAGUUUCAGGAUUUGACGCAGACUACUGAGACUGUGGCGGAGAUCACCGCCAAGUUCAGGGAGAGGGCUCUUCUUGUACCGCAGUAUGUAGCGGAUGAGGAGAUGAAGAAGGCUCGGUACCAUGAGAUGUUGAGGGACGACAUCAGGGAGUUCGUGAGCAGGUCCAGCUGUAAGACGCUGGAAGAUAUGAUUUCUCGGGCUAGGGAAAGGGAAAUUGAUUUGGAGCAGAUCCGGAAGAGGAAGCCGGAUGAGGUUCAGGUAUCAGCGGGUUCGGGCAAAAGGCCCAAGGGAUCGGAUUCGAGAUCGAGGGAUCAUCAGGACCGCAGUCGGUGCGGAAAGUGUGGCAGGGCGCACGGGGGCGCGUGCAGGAGUGGUAGCGGUGGUGAGUCUGGCUGCUUCAAGUGCGGUCGGACUGGUCAUUUUAGCAGGGAUUGUACUGUUACCGCCGCGCAGGGAUCAGACAUGAUAUGUUUUCAUUGCAACCAGCGGGGCCACAAGAAGGCCCAGUGCCCCAGUUUGUCUUCAGCAGGACGGGUGAUGGCGCCCGCCCCUGCAACCUUGAGGAUCGCAGAUGGCCGUCAGGGCCGGGUAGAGGCACCUGCAGCAGGGAGCAGGGCUUUCCAGAUGACGACUUUGGAGACGCGAGCAUCGCCGGAUGUUGCAGGUAUGCAAUUUCCAUUCUCAGUUCUUUUAUUUUGUGCAUGAUUUCAUUGUUAUGGUUCUGCAUCAUUAUCGGUAUGAGUAUUUUAUUUUGAUUGGUUGAUUGUGAUCGAGUUAUAUGCCAUCUGCAUACCUUGGAUAUUUGUAUGGUAGUUAGGGGGAUGUGCUCUAUUGAAGAAGGUUUCGAAGGAUGCAGUAACUGUAGCAUGCUUGGGAGGGAUUUGGUUCGUUUCGUUAGUUCAGAGUGGUGCAGUGAUUGUGAUGGAUUGGCUAAAGCCCUAGCUAUGGCGGGCUUGGGUUCCUCAGUGGAUGGGUUAUGGAAUGGUAGCAAGGAUCGGGAUUUCUUUGAAUAUUGAGCAGCAAGGGGUAAGCAGGAUCGAAGUGGGGGAGAAUCCUCCAGAUGUGCCCAGAGGGGAGCACGCAGACCCAGAACGAGUACGUGACCUCCGAGAGGGAAGAGAAGUAGUUCAACGUUUGAUGGAUUGAGGAUUCCAGGGUUGGGAGUUUGAGAAACUCCAUAUCAGCUAGCGCGUGGGAUGGUAUGGUUGGUUAUGAUUGAGAAUUCAGAUUGUGGAUCGCCUGAAGGACUCGCGGGAGUCGGAAUAAGGAUCUUGAGAAGUCGAUGGCACGUGGGUGCCUUCGUAUUAGCAGUCAGUGGUAGGGAGGUAAGACUACGGGUAAGCCGUAGCAUUCCUUAGUAGUUUCGUUAGCAGGAGUCGGGGCGAGGCCCUUAUCUCCUAGUGAUCAGGUAGGGAUCAGGAAUGGGUAGUGGAUGAGAGUAGUAGGGAGUUGCCUGUAUAGCUCUAGAGAGGUGAGACCUUGGGAGAGGCCGCUCCAGGAUAUAGUUGGGUGAGACCCGUGGGCGAGGCCCGUAUGAGAUUAGCGGUGCAGGUGAGACCUGGGAGCAGGGUUGCUCAGUAGUAUGGUUGGGUGAGACCCGAGGGCGAGGCCCGUGAGUUUAGCAGCGCAGGUGGGACCUGGUCGGGAUCUUAGUGUCAAGUUAGGGGAUCGGGGAUCCCGAGUUUGUAGUGCCUGGAUGGCAGGAUUGAUUGAGCAGUUAUAGAUGGUCGAGGUUUCCUCGGUAGUCGCUGAGAACGACCAGGGAUGGUGUUGGGUUUAGCUACCGGUGGGAGCCGGUAAUCCAGUCAUUGAUAGGUUGGUAGGGACCAGGGCGGUCCCGGUUUAUCAGGAAGUCAGUCGGGGAAUAAUUGAAUUGCCAGUCGGUGGCAGUGUGAGUAUGCAGCGUAUGGUGGACUUCAGUUAGUUGAGUCGAGGGGUGCUCGACACCAAGUGUUGGCAGGAAGGAGUGUCAGUGAGUGCUGACGGUGAUGACCCGUCCUGGAAAUAGCAGGGAGAUGAUGGAGUUAGUGAAGGAUAGGACCUUCACAGUGUCAAAGGAAAAGUCGGUAAUGAGACUUUGCCUUGGGAAGGCAAGGGAUUUGCGCAAGGAAAGAAGUGGAGAACCCCUGUGGGUUCAGUGCAGUAUUCGGUGGAAGACCAGCGCAGGUAGGCGGCUGGUGUUGGGUAUUGGAGGCAGAUCGCAGGCGGUGGGCCAUGGUAAACUUCGAGGACGAAGUUCAGUUUAAGUGGGGGAGAGUUGUAACACCCAGGAUUUUGAAAGCCAAGAAAGUAAAGGAAACCCUAAAUUUAAGAGGGACUCGACGAGUCAAAGGAAGGACUCGGCGAGUCGGAGCGGGAUCCGGGUCGAUAAGAAAGUGACCAACUCGACGAGUCGGCCAAGUGGACUCGGCGAGUCUGGUCUGUGCGAGGAAAACCCUAAAUCCGGGGCUUGGAGCCUAUUUAAGCAUCUUAAUCUUCUUCCUAGGGCUCCUUUACAGCCUCUUGCACCCAGAACGCCGCACCUUAAGCCCCCAUUGUGUUCAUUCAAGCUUUUAGCCAUUUUUGAGUGGGUUUAAGGAAGAAGAAGGAGUGGGAAUCCUUGAAGCAUCAGGGAGUGGCUUUGGAUCUGAAGUUUGGGAAGCAUUUCAGAGCAUUGGAAGGUAUCAAUUCGUUUCUCUCCUCCAUAUUUUUCCUUGGUUAUGAGUUUUGGGGCUUUUAAGCCAUGUUUAAGACCAAUCUUGAGCUUGAGGUCCAGAUCUGAGGUUGCUACCUCAGAUCCAUGUUUAUUUUGGUAUGUAAUCCCAUAAAGUAUCAGCCAUUGGGUGGAAAUUGGAGUCUCUUGGUCCUAAACCCUAGCUAUGGGUGUAUUUUGCCUAGAUCUCACUCUCUACACGUAAAGGUUGCAACUUUACGUGGGAAAUAGGCUUGGGGAGGGUAGAUCUAUAGUUUGGAGCUCAUGCAUGACUCGGAAGUCCUCUGCAUGUAAGUGGAUCUUAGUGGACUCGACGAGUCCUUCGAGUGGACUCGGCGAGUAGCUUGAAGAUGAGGAGGAACUCGACGAGUGGGAUGAACAGCUCGUCGAGUCGGAUGAAGAUGGGCAUGAACUCGGCGAGUUGGAUGAACAACUCGUCGAGUUGGAUGAAGUUUGUCGUGUGCUCGGCGAGUCUGUUCUUAGACUCGGCGAGUCAGGUCGAGUGGUCCCAAACCCUUCGAGUUAAGACUCGAGUCAGCGAGUCGAGCCAGGACUCAGUGAGUUGGUCAGGACAGGAAUCGAGAAUCAGUAAACUCGGCGAGUCAGGGGCUGACUCGGCGAGUAGAGUCGCGAGUGGAAGGACUCUGGAUUUAUGGACUCGGCGAGUCAGUGGGGUGACUCGGCGAGUAGGGUUGACCUGGAAGGUUGACUUUGACCAGAGUUGACUUGGUUAACCUUUGGAGGUCAGUUAGACUAAGUGUUGGGUUGUUGUUGGUAGCUCGGGGAGCUAGCGGAGCAGCAGUUCGGAGUUAGCGGUCAGGUAGCGGUCAAAGGGGUUAGCAGCGGCAGUUCGGCAAUAUCAGGUGAGUUUCCCUUUGUAUGAAUGGGUCUACGGCCACAAUGCCGGCCCAUGUAGUUAUGAGUAGAAGACCCGGGGGUUAGCCCUAGGCACAGUAUGCUAGUAUGAUAUUUGGACGAGGUCCAAUGACAGAGGGCGGGUGCCCAA